AUCGACGUAAAAGAUAGAGAACAUUUCCUGUUUUAUUAAUGUCAUAUUUUUUUAUCUAUCCUUUUUUUCUUUCUUAUUUUUCAUAAAGUCAAUCGGUAUUUUUCUUUAUUGUUAACCACUACUGAUUGAAUGUUAUUAUCUACUUAAAUUUAUCUAGCUACUGACCAUCACAAUGCAACAAGUAGAUUACAUGGACAUAGUCUUCAGAGGCAGAGGUCAAAAGAGACGUUUUGAGGCUCUAGCUCAGAUAUAAAU
rnacentral:lncRNA from 1 species